CCUACGGGGGGCAGCAGUGAGGAAUAUUGGUCAAUGGCCGGAAGGCUGAACCAGCCAUGCCGCGUGAAGGUCAGUGCCCUAUGGGCGUUAAACUUCUUUUGUGCGGGAGCAAUAAUGGUCACGUGUGGCCAGACGAGAGUACCGUACGAAUAAGCAUCGGCUAACUCCGUGCCAGCAGCCGCGGUAAUACGGGGGAUGCAAGCGUUAUCCGGAUUUAUUGGGUUUAAAGGGUGCGUAGGCUGUGAGGUAAGUCAGCGGUGAAAUGCCCCCGCUCAACGGGGUGAAGUGCCAUUGAUACUGCCUGGCUGGAAUGCGGAUGACGUGGGAGGAAUGUGUGGUGUAGCGGUGAAAUGCAUAGAUAUCACACAGAACACCGAUUGCGAAGGCAUCUCACGAAUCCGCGAUUGACGCUGAUGCACGAAAGCGUGGGUAUCAAACAGGAUUAGAUACCCUGGUAGUC
rnacentral:rRNA from 1 species